rnacentral:rRNA from 1 species
GACAGAGGGUGCAAACGUUGUUCGGAAUUACUGGGCGUAAAGAGCGCGCAGGCGGCUUGGCAAGUCGGGUGUGAAAUCCCGGGGCUCAACCCCGGGACUGCAUUCGAUACUGUCAGGCUAGAGGUAGGUAGGGGAGAUCGGAAUUCCUGGUGUAGCGGUGAAAUGCGCAGAUAUCAGGAGGAACACCAAUGGCGAGGGCAGCUCGCUGGGACGGUACUGACGCUGAGGCGCGAAAGCGUGGGGAGCAAACAGG